UUCCCUCUUAGCGUGGAGGUUUAACUACGCUCGUUCCCCAUAUCGGUGUGGGCGCACCGGAUUUAUAAAUCAAAGUCCUUUAGGGAACGGAAAGGAAC
rnacentral:ncRNA from 1 species